rnacentral:rRNA from 1 species
CGCCAGACUCCUACGGGAGGCAGCAGUGGGGAAUAUUGCACAAUGGGGGAAACCCUGAUGCAGCGACGCCGCGUGAGCGAUGAAGUAUUUCGGUAUGUAAAGCUCUAUCAGCAGGGAAGAAGAUGACGGUACCUGACUAAGAAGCCCCGGCUAACUACGUGCCAGCAGCCGCGGUAAUACGUAGGGGGCAGGCGUUAUCCGGAUUUACUGGGUGUAAAGGGAGCGUAGACGGCGAUGCAAGCCAGAUGUGAAAGCCCGGGGCUCAACCCCGGGACUGCAUUUGGAACUGUGUGGCUGGAGUGUCGGAGAGGCAGGCGGAAUUCCUAGUGUAGCGGUGAAAUGCGUAGAUAUUAGGAGGAACACCAGUGGCGAAGGCGGCCUGCUGGACGAUGACUGACGUUGAGGCUCGAAAGCGUGGGGAGCAAACAGGAUUAGAUACCCCAGUACC